GAGGUAGAGGAAAAAAAUGUAAAUAAGCUGAACGGGAACGCACGCACACACCCAAAGGAAAAAAAAUGUAAACAUCACACGAGAUGACAGUUGCGGAGAGGGAAGGGAUGCCAGUUUGAGGGAUUUUGAUCGGGGUUGGAGACAUAGGCAAAUCAAGUAGCCGAACUGGCCUGUAAAAACCAGCUGUUUCCCUGUUAGACUGAAGUCCGGCGGUCGUGCGAUUCGAAGCGUUAUCCCUCGAUGUCGAUUGUGUCCUGCCAUUUUCGAGCGUUUGUCGUGCAUUUCAUCGAAUGUCAAAGGUGACAUCUGCAGUUCGUGUUGGUACUAGUAGGCUACGCAAUUGGAUGACAGUUCAUUUUUUUUUCAAAGUCCACCACGAAAAGGUUAUUUAAUAAGUUAAAAUUAGAAAUAAUUAAAACAAAAAGCAUUGUUUGUGCAGAUUCCGAUGCGUCAAUCCGGAAGGCGUGCUGUUGAGCGAUGGGUUCGAUGCUCAAAUACAAAGCCAGCGGUUUCAAAUUCAGGGACUUUCUGAACCAGGAAAACGGUAAAAUGCAAGAGGAAUCUAAAUUUCCAAGCAACUCAUCAAACUUCCAUCAUCCAACAUCCAAAAAGUUUUUGGCACCUCGGAUUACCAACUUUUUCAAGAACUUUUUCUUCCAGUAUGGCCAAGAUUGUGGAUUAUUUGUUGUAAAAACAGGAUAAUAAAAAUGUAUUGAUCAACA